UGGCGGUGAUGAAUGAUUUUCUUAACUGAACAACCGUGUGGCUUUAAGCUUUUUAACCCUGAGCCAA